rnacentral:misc_RNA from 1 species
GGCACAACAAAGUAACUGCUUCUCCCCUACAGUGCGCACGCACGCACGCACAGACGCAUGCUAGUUCUUGCCUCUCUUCCUCUCAAAUUUCAUUCAUGGUUUUGGCCUUAGGGUUUAGAUUCAUCUCUGUAUGUUCUUCUUCUUCGAUUCUCUCUACUCUUUAGAAUUCAGUUUCCUCCAUUGCAGCUGUUUAUCCAAUCAAAGCCGGUCUCUGCCUCAACUUCUCAUUCAUUUUUUUUGGUCUUUGUAAGGUCGUCAAAUUCUUUCUUCAUUCAACAUUCAAAGGACGAUCGGAAAGCAGAGAAGCUUCUCUCUUUUCCCUUCGAUCAAUGGUGUUUAGCUCAGCCUCCGAAACCCACCAAACUUCUCCUCAUAGAGACGCUACCAAAUACGCAGACAUGGCUUCUUCAACUCUUAAAUCUCAUCAGCCUCUCCAUAACUUUCCAUUACAGGAUCUCAAAUGGUCCAUGAACCACACCAAUAACCACCGCUUUCGCAAGUUUGCUGCUGAUUCCUCUCACAAAUCCCCCCAACGCGACACCGCCGAGUCUGACGGCGUGAAAACUGGGAACUACGUCGCGUCUCCUGAUCGGGUGACCGAGAAAUCUGAGAAGAAAUUGGGGGUUUCGGAUACUGCGGUUGACAAUUCCGACAAGAUAUCCAAGAUCUUUAUUCGCAUCAGGACUAAUAGUAGCAAGUGCGCUGACGAUUCUGUGGAUGCAGGGGAUCAGACCUCAGUUGUGGACGAUGCGGAGGAAACGAUAACGAAGACAUGGAAUCUGAGGCCGAGACGAGCCGUGAUUAAGGCUUCCGAUGGGAAUGGAGGUGUACCGAAGAUUGGUGGAGCUGUCGAGCCGGAAACCAAAGCUCAGGAACCGAGUCGCCCUGAAUUGACUCGGUCACGGAAUACUAACGAUGCUAAGGUGGCUGAGAAGAAAGAGAAAGAGAAGGAGAAGAAGCUAAAGCUCUCGAUCCCGCUUACCAAAGAGGAAAUCGAAGAGGAUGUCUAUGCGUUGACUGGGUCAAAGCCUGCGAGGAGGCCCAAGAAGAGACCGAAGCAUGUGCAGAAACAACUUGAUUGCUUGUUUCCUGGAUUGUGGCUGUCUUCGAUCACGCCUGAUGUAUACAAAGUUUCUGAUGCUCCUCCAAAGGUCCAAUAUUGAUGUUUCUGAACUGUCAACUUUUUCUUUCUUGUGUUCCCUACUUUUUUUGGUUCGGUACCUGAGUAAGCCAUUGAAAGGCGAAGAAAAUUGGGUAAAUGUUGUUUUUAUUGAAAAAAUGUUGAGAAACUUAAUCUCUAUGAAGCUCUCUUGUUAGCAAAGGAAAGGACAAAGAAGACAAACAACAUCAAAGAAGAGAAGGUGGCUUACUUGAUUGGAUGGAUUUUUAAGCAAUAACAAGCAUGUGAUCAUGGAAUUCUCAUUUGCACUAUCUUUUCAUCACAAGUUAAUUCUUUUAUGCUUUUUGUGGAGUUGAUGUUUGAAUUUUGCUGUUCAUACAGGGAUAGAUGAUCCAUUUUUAUAAACUGGGAACUUGAAGGUGAAUGACUGCCCAACUUGUUGACACCAGCGUAAAGUGUAAAACACUAUGAGCCUGUAAAGAUGAAAGGGUAACGAAUGUAUCUUGUUUUUGUGCCUUUUCUCUAUACAGCAAGGAGCUCACUGCAAGUUUGAAGGGUUAAUGUUAUGGUCCGUGUUUUAAGUAGCUGCCUUUGUACAUAAGAACUAUCAAUCUAAUGGGUAGAGAUUUUAAUAUCAGCAUUUGUUUUUUGCAGUUAAUGUGAAAUCAAAUGCUUUUCUAGACCAUUUAUUUUGCAUGAUAGUUCACAAGAUAUUUUUUCCUUGUUAGCUGACACAUUGAAAUAUCUCUGUAUCCCAAAUAGUUGGCGUGUGGUGUUCUGAUUGACUUCCAUAUUUCAUAUCUGCAUUAUUUUUCUUUCCAAAUGUGCAUCUAGUAGAGCAAAAAAGAGAAAAAGGAAAAGAUUAGAUUACCAGUUCUUAAUCAAUUCAAGGAAAGUAUGAUCCUUUGAUAAUUAAUUGCAUUAUUGCCAUUGUUGGUCGACUUCAAGAGCCAUGCACGAUAUUGUUGUUAUUUGAGGUAUGUGCUAUCUUGUGUAAUAUUGCUAUUAAUAGCCGGGCGUUUGCUUUUUGAAAUUUGAGUUUUUUAUUUGUUAGAAUUGUAAGCGCACUAGUUUUUUGCACAGCAAUCUAAGGCAUUGUAUGUAGUUGUACUAUAAUUUUUAUCUCCUAUGGAAUUACAACUAUUAAGAUUUUCAUGAUAAUAAGAAUUUUCAGAAUUUGCAAAUUGAUGCACGCACAGAAUUCAUUGUGAACUGUGUUGGACUUUGUUUAGUUCUGGACAUGGCUAUCUUAUGUACUUAUUAUUUCUGUUGUUUUCUUCUUGAAAAAUGCAAAGUCACUGUCCUUUUAUCUUUCCUUAUUUGAAAGAUGUGCGAGUUAUAUGUGCAGUAUGGUUAUUGGUGAGAUGUGUACAAUCGAGUGAUGCAACUGGAUAAAUCAAGUACUAAAAAAGAAAUUUUAUUGCAGAUAUUAGAGUACUGCAAUUGCAAUCUAGAUCACAGGGUAGUACGAAAGUCUUAUGAGAACAGCAAUUGAUCAUAGAAUUGGUCCUGAAUCUGAGCAACAGUCAUUUAAAUAGUCUACUUGAUAAGUGCAGAUUAUUGUUAAAUUUUAAGAAUUAGCCUUGAACUAGAUAAUUUAAUGAUGAGAAAAAUGAGCCGAUGGAAGUAAGCAUUGGAGGCGAGGACUUGUUUUUGCAUACUCCUUACCAAUUUGGAGCAUGCAAAAACUUUUUUAUGUGAAUUUUUCUGACAUAGUUUUAUUCUUCUACAUAUUUUCUCAACUUCUCUGCUUGCUUUGUAAGAUAGAACAUUCUGUAUUAGAUAUGGUGAUCAAAUCUUAUGUUUCUAGAUCAAUCCUGGAGGUCACUCAUGAAGGUCUCAUGAUCUCUAAUCUUGGGACAUAUUAGAUAGGUGAUAAAAGGGGUGGGGUUAUUGUGAAAAUCUUUGUAAAUGUUUUGGUCUGGUUUUUCUUUAUUACAAUGUCAACUUAUUGAUCUGCUUUAAAACAAAAAAAUUUUAUAUCAUCUGUGUUGGGAACUGGGUUGAACAAGUACUUUUGAUGUUCACUACUCAUUUGUUUCGCAUAACUUGCAUGGUAUUGGGAGUUCUGAUCCAUCAUAGUUUGUGGAGAAGCUUUUUGUCUGUGUAUAAGCUCCCCAUUCAUUUGCAAAACUGAAGAACAAUGAAUUUGCAUCUUAGGGCCUUAAGUCUUAACAGCCAUGGGGUUAAAUGUAUGGUUUUCAGGCAUGCAGUUUUUUUGCAUGAAAAAUUAUUCAUUUUUUCCAUGGAUCCUGUUAUUUUUGCAGACAGAGAAGGGUUUGAACUUGAUUAUUAUUAUUAUGUUAAUUACAGAAAUAAAGCAUCUGUGUGAUGGUUGAAGGUUGGAGCUAUUCAGCUCAGGAGUGGAACAUAACGUUGAAUGCAUAUGCUUUUAUUUGCCAAGUAGUUCACCUUUUCUAUUCGAAAAUUUGCUGAUAUAUUUUUAAGGGAUGUAAUCUAGAUGCAAAUUAAGAAUAAACUCUACUUGAGUUGCUUUGACAAGCUGUGGAGGGGAAUUGAGGUGCUAAAGCUUUCUUUAUAUGUUGGUUAUCGUCAUCUUCACAUGUGAGUUUAUUAUUAUUAUUAUUACUGUUAUUAUUAUUAGUUUGGCAUUGCACUUAAUAGCAUAUUGCUUUGCCAUUUUUCAGUGGCUGGGAGCUUCACAAAGUCACAUGUAGACGUCUGAAGCACAGGAUGCAUGCGGUAUUUGGGAAUCUACUGUUGUUUACAAAAAGGGUGAACUAAAAAUGAUGCUGUCAAGCUUUCUUUGGAACAAUGAAAGACUCUGCUUGCAUCUGUUUGAAAUUUUAUUUUACUGUUCUAUUCGGAAAUUUCCCUUCACAUUCUUCACAAAAAAACUUAGGUGGAAGUUCCUUUCAAAAAGUAUCUCGGUAACAUUUUUAAUCCUUCCCCCACUGCCACCUUUUUUCUUCUCGUUCUCAACUUAAAUGUUAAACAUUUAUAACCAUAAAAAAAUAAUCAUCCGUAAUGAUAUUUGUAUAAAUGUAUUGAAAAAAUUGUGAUGAAAUGAAAGUGAUUUAUUAUCU